CAAUGUGAUAAAUCCUUGAAAAAGUUUGUACUAAAAAGUACUAAAUGAAAAAGUAUGUCACUUUUAUUUCAUUUUUGAGUUUUCCAAUUGUGUUUUUUUUUUUAUUUCAAAAUUUAUUUAAAUUAAAUGUCAAGAAAUUAUGAAAAAUAAACCAUCUGUGGAUAAAAGAAAGGAAAAAUGUAAGAAGAAGACUACAAAAAUCAAACCAAGAAUUUAGCGCAUUAGGAGAUUAAUUGUUUGAUUUGGCCCUAUUCACACAACAUUGAAUUGCUCUUGUACGCGUACUUUUCAACAACAUGAAGUAAUGGGUUACACAAUUUAUGUAGCACCAUUGAUAAGACGUUUUUAUCGCAUAAAUAAAUAAUUGAAACAAAUGUUAACAAACAUAUUUAAUAGCAUUAAUUAGAACUCAAUUCAAAAA